rnacentral:rRNA from 1 species
CCCCUUAUAGACGAUGAGGUUGAUAGGUUCGGUGUGGAAGUGCAGUAAUGCAUGGAGCUGACGAAUACUAAUCGGUCGAGGACUUAUCCAC